rnacentral:rRNA from 1 species
CUACGUGCCAGCAGCCGCGGUCAUACGUAGGAUCCGAGCAUUAUCCGGAGUGACUGGGUGUAAAGAGUUGCGUAGGUGGCAAGGUAAGUAGAUAGUGAAAUCUGGUGGCUCAACCAUUCAGACUAUUAUCUAAACUAUCUAGCUCGAGACUGUUAUGGGUAACUGGAAUUUCUAGUGUAGGAGUGAAAUCCGUAGAUAUUAGAAGGAACACCAAUAGCGUAGGCAGGUUACUGGAACAGUUCUGACACUAAGGCACGAAAGCGUAGGGAGCAAACGGGAUUAGAUACCCCGGUAGUCUACGCCGUAAACGAUGGAUACUAGCAGUUUUGGGUAUCGACCCCCGGAGUUGCGAAGCUAACGCGUUAAGUAUCCCACCUGUGUAGUACGAUCGCAAGAUUAAAACAUAAAGGAAUUGACGGGGACCCGCACAAGCGGUGGAGCGUGAUCUUUAAUUCGAUGGUAAACGAUAAACCUUACCAAGGCUUGACAUCCGAUGUAGGCUCUCGAAAGAGAACUGUGC